rnacentral:rRNA from 1 species
UGGGGAAUUUUGGACAAUGGGCGAAAGCCUGAUCCAGCAAUGCCGCGUGUGUGAAGAAGGCCUUCGGGUUGUAAAGCACUUUUGUCCGGAAAGAAAUCCUUGGCUCUAAUACAGUCGGGGGAUGACGGUACCGGAAGAAUAAGCACCGGCUAACUACGUGCCAGCAGCCGCGGUAAUACGUAGGGUGCAAGCGUUAAUCGGAAUUACUGGGCGUAAAGCGUGCGCAGGCGGUUUGCUAAGACCGAUGUGAAAUCCCCGGGCUCAACCUGGGAACUGCAUUGGUGACUGGCAGGCUAGAGUAUGGCAGAGGGGGGUAGAAUUCCACGUGUAGCAGUGAAAUGCGUAGAGAUGUGGAGGAAUACCGAUGGCGAAGGCAGCCCCCUGGGCCAAUACUGACGCUCAUGCACGAAAAGCGUGGGGGAGCAAAACAGGAUUAGAUACCCCUGGUAGUCCACGCCCUAAAACGAUGUCAACUAGUUGUUGGGGAUUCAUUUCCUUAGUAACGUAGCUAACGCGUGAAGUUGACCGCCUGGGGAGUACGGUCGCAAGAUU